AUUGACAUCUUACUAGGCAGCAUUGGAUGUGAUCUCCCUUUCUAAUACUGCCUGGUAAUGAUGAUGAU
rfam:Lepisosteus oculatus linkage group LG25, whole genome shotgun sequence.